rnacentral:rRNA from 1 species
UGAAUACGAGAUGCUACGGCGUCGAAGCAGUCUAUGUCAUACUUCCAAGAAAAGCUUGCACUGUCAUAAACAAAUAAUGCCUGUACCAUAACCGACACAGGUGGGUAGGUAGAGUAUACUAAGGGGCGCGAGAUGACUCUCUCUAAGGAACUCGGCAAAAUGACUCCGUAACUUCGGGAGAAGGAGUGCCUUAUUUAUAAGGUUGCAAUAACAAGAUCCAAGCAACUGUUUACCAAAAACACAGGUCUCCGCUAAGUCGUAAGACGAUGUAUGGGGGCUGACGCCUGCCCAGUGCCAGAAGGUUAAAGAAGUUGGUUAGCAUCCGCGAAGCUGAUAACUGAAGCCCUGGUGAACGGCGGCCGUAACAAUAACGGUCCUAAGGUAGCGAAAUUCCUUGUCGGGUAAGUUCCGACCCGCACGUAAGGCGUAAUGAUUUGGAUACUGUCUCGGAGAGGGGCUCGGUGAAAUAGACUUGUCUGUGAAGAUGCGGACUACCUGCACCAGGACAGAAAGACCCUAUGAAGCUUUACUGUAACCUGAAAUUGAAAUUGGACUUUACUUGCGCAGUAUAGGUGGGAGGCGUUGAGAAUAUUCUUGCGGGAUUAUUGGAGCCAUCAGUGAGAUACCACUCUUGUAAUGUUAGAUUUCUAACUUUGUAUCAUUAUCUGGUCAAAGAACAGUUUCAGGCGGGCAGUUUGACUGGGGCGGUCGCCUCCUAAACGGUAACGGAGGCGCACAAAGGUUUCCUCUGAACGGGUAGAAAUCGUAUCUAGAGUGUAAAGGCAUAAGGAAGCUUGACUGUGAGACCUACAAGUCGAGCAGGGACGAAAGUCGGUCUUAGUGAUCUGACGGUGCUGAGUGGAAAGGCCGUCACUCAACGGAUAAAAGUUACUCUAAGGAUAACAGGCUGAUCUCCCCCAAGAGUUCACGUCGACGGGGAGGUUUGGCACCUCGAUGUCGGCUCAUCGCAUCCUGGGGCGGUAGUACGUCCCAAGGGUUGGGCCGUUCGCCCAUGAAAGCGGUACGCGAGCUGGGUUCAGAACGUCGUGAGACAGUUCGGUCCAUAUCCGGUGUAGGCGUUAGAAUAUUGAGAGGAGCCUUCUUUAGUACGAGAGGACCGAGAAGGACAUACCUCUGGUGUACCAGUUAUCGUGCCAACGGUAAACGCUGGGUAGCUAUGUGUGGAGUGGAUAACCGCUGAAAGCAUCUAAGUGGGAAGCCCACCUCAAGAUAAGUAUUCUCA